rnacentral:lncRNA from 1 species
AGCAAAGAAUAACUUUACCGAAAGACUAUAUGUAGCACUCGGUAAAGAAGACUUUGUCGAGUGCUUGGUCUAGCACUCAGCAAAGAUCUUAGCUCUCGGCAAAACCGCGGUCGCUCGACAAAGAAUCAAUUUUCUGUAGUGCGCACUUUUGAUCUCCUGCAGCAGAAGAAGAACAGAACUGCCACGCGCAAUGCAUGGGUAUGGGCCAUGCCUAGGCCGCUCCGCUCCGAUCUACGUAUGGCAGAGCAGCCGCGCACCCACCCACACAGGCUCCACAUUUGACGCCGUGGCAGGCAGGCAGGGUCGGGUCGGCAAUACUACGAAUCAUUGCUCAUCUUGCUCUCCCACUGCGACAAAGGGGUCAGAGUAGAUUCCAAAGCCGUCCGGCGUUGCGUUGUUUUACUGGUGUGGGGUAAUUGGCAACCUCCUCCCUGCCACGGAAUUCAAUUCCAUUCCAUCCAUGUAGUUGCAGGUACUACGGCU